GACGAACGCUGGCGGCGUGCUUAACACGUGCAAGUCGAACGGAAAGGCCCUGCUUUUGUGGGGUGCUCGAGUGGCGAACGGGUGAGUAACACGUGAGUAACCUGCCCUUGACUUUGGGAUAACUUCAGGAAACUGGGGCUAAUACCGGAUAGGAGCUCCUGCUGCAUGGUGGGGGUUGGAAAGUUUCGGCGGUUGGGGAUGGACUCGCGGCUUAUCAGCUUGUUGGCGGGGUAGUGGCUUACCAAGGCUUUGACGGGUAGCCGGCCUGAGAAGGUGACCGGCCACAUUGGGACUGAGAUACGGCCCAGACUCCUACGGGAGGCAGCAGUGGGGAAUAUUGCACAAUGGGCGGAAGCCUGAUGCAGCAACGCCGCGUGCGGGAUGACGGCCUUCGGGUUGUAAACCGCUUUCGCCUGUGACGAAGCGUGAGUGACGGUAAUGGGUAAAGAAGCACCGGCUAACUACGUG
rnacentral:rRNA from 1 species